rnacentral:rRNA from 1 species
UACGUAGGGUGCGAGCGUUAAUCGGAAUUACUGGGCGUAAAGCGUGCGCAGGCGGUUAUGUAAGACAGAUGUGAAAUCCCCGGGCUCAACCUGGGAACUGCAUUUGUGACUGCAUGGCUAGAGUACGGUAGAGGGGGAUGGAAUUCCGCGUGUAGCAGUGAAAUGCGUAGAUAUGCGGAGGAACACCGAUGGCGAAGGCAAUCCCCUGGACCUGUACUGACGCUCAUGCACGAAAGCGUGGGGAGCAAACAGGAUUAGAUACCCUGGUAGUCCACGCCCUAAACGAUGUCAACUGGUUGUUGGGAAUUAGUUUUCUCAGUAACGAAGCUAACGCGUGAAGUUGACCGCCUGGGGAGUACGGCCGCAAGGUUGAA